rnacentral:rRNA from 1 species
GUCUAUGACCAUACUACCCUGAAUGCACCCGAUCUCAUCUGAUAUCAGAAGCUAAGCAGGGUCGUCUGGUUAGUACUUGGCUAGCAGAAUGUAAAUUAGUGCAACCACUGUGGAAAUAAGUAGGGAUGUUCC